rnacentral:tRNA from 1 species
GGAGAGGUGCUCGAGUGGUUGAAGAGGCACGCCUGGAAAGCGUGUAUACCCCUAAAGGGUAUCGGGGGUUCGAAUCCCCCUCUCUUCG